CGCCUCUUGACAAAAUAUAAGAGGUCCAGCCUGCCCAGUGAUAACAUUCAACGGCCGCGGUACCCUAACCGUGCAAAGGUAGCACAAUCACUUGUUCCAUAAAUAGGGACUAGUAUGAAUGGCACCACGAAGACUAUACUGUCUCCCCCACUCAAUCAGUGAAACUGAUCUCCCCGUGAAGAAGCGGGGAUCAACAUAUAAGACGAGAAGACCCCAUGGAGCUUCAAACCAAGCAUCACCUGUUAAAUACAUACCACAAAACCCAUCAGACCUGACUGCCUGUUUUUGGUUGGGGUGACCGCGGAGUAAAACACAACCUCCACAAUGAAUAGACCUAACCCCUUAAUUCAAGACCCACAGCUCAACAAAUCAACAUAUUGACAUAAUUGACCCAAACCUAUUGAUCAAUGAACCUAGUUACCCUGGGGAUAACAGCGCAAUCCAUUUAAAGAGCCCCUAUCGACAAAUGGGUUUACGACCUCGAUGUUGGAUCAGGGUAUCCCAGUGGUGCAGCCGCUACUAAAGGUUCGUUUGUUCAACGAUUAAAACCCUA
rnacentral:rRNA from 1 species